rnacentral:rRNA from 1 species
AUUGAACGCUGGCGGCAUGCCUUACACAUGCAAGUCGAACGGCAGCGCGGACUUCGGUCUGGCGGCGAGUGGCGAACGGGUGAGUAAUGUAUCGGAACGUACCUUUCAGUGGGGGAUAACGUAGCGAAAGUUACGCUAAUACCGCAUAUUCUGUGAGCAGGAAAGCAGGGGAUCGCAAGACCUUGCGCUGAUUGAGCGGCCGAUAUCAGAUUAGCUAGUUGGUGAGGUAAAGGCUCACCAAGGCGACGAUCUGUAGCGGGUCUGAGAGGAUGAUCCGCCACACUGGAACUGAGACACGGUCCAGACUCCUACGGGAGGCAGCAGUGGGGAAUUUUGGACAAUGGGGGCAACCCUGAUCCAGCCAUGCCGCGUGAGUGAAGAAGGCCUUCGGGUUGUAAAGCUCUUUCGGCCGGGAAGAAAUCGUAUGGGUUAAUACCCUGUGCGGAUGACGGUACCGGCAUAAGAAGCACCGGCUAACUACGUGCCAGCAGCCGCAGUAA